GAAAUGGCGCCUUUGCUAAUUUUAGAUUGUUUUGAAAUUUUGCGCCACAAUUUUCUCGUCGAUCGGGCGAUCGAUCGAUCAGUUGUACUUUCGUCUACUAAAGAAGACCAUUUAAUUCUCAGGAGAGUUUUCCGUAGCUGAAAUGUCGAAUUUGGAAGGAGCUUUUGCGCCAGUUCCCGUUCAAAGGGGAACUGGCAGCUAUUACAGAGGAUUUGUUAAACCACCUGAAAGAUUUAUCAGUACUCAACUGUCAGGGGGACUCAGGGUACUAUAUCAAAAGCUUGAAG
rnacentral:lncRNA from 1 species